rnacentral:rRNA from 1 species
UACAGAGGUCCCAAGCGUUGUUCGGAUUCAUUGGGCGUAAAGGGUGCGUAGGCGGCGCGGUAAGUCGGGUGUGAAUCUCGGAGCUUAACUCCGAAACUGCAUUCGAUACUGCCGUGCUUGAGGACUGGAGAGGAGACUGGAAUUUACGGUGUAGCGGUGAAAUGCGUAGAUAUCGUAAGGAAGACCAGUGGCGAAGGCGGGUCUCUGGACAGUUCCUGACGCUGAGGCACGAAGGUCAGGGAGCAAACGGGAUUAGAGUACCCCAG